rnacentral:rRNA from 1 species
CCUACGGGAGGCAGCAGUGGGGAAUAUUGGACAAUGGGCGAAAGCCUGAUCCAGCCAUGCCGCGUGUGUGAAGAAGGCCUUCGGGUUGUAAAGCACUUUCAGUGGGGAAGAAAGCCUUGGGGCUAAUACCCUCGAGGAAGGACAUCACCCACAGAAGAAGCACCGGCUAACUCCGUGCCAGCAGCCGCGGUAAUACGGAGGGUGCGAGCGUUAAUCGGAAUUACUGGGCGUAAAGCGCGCGUAGGCGGUCUGAUAAGCCGGUUGUGAAAGCCCCGGGCUCAACCUGGGAACGGCAUCCGGAACUGUCAGGCUAGAGUGCAGGAGAGGAAGGUAGAAUUCCCGGUGUAGCGGUGAAAUGCGUAGAGAUCGGGAGGAAUACCAGUGGCGAAGGCGGCCUUCUGAACUGACACUGACGCUGAGGUGCGAAAGCGUGGGUAGCAAACAGGAUUAGAUACCCUGGUAGUC